GGCUGGACAUUGGAGCAGCAAUAGCUAGCGGGAGGGCUGGGACUGGCGGAAGCGUGACAAACGACAGAUAGUUUGGAGGAUUAGUUUCAGCGGAGUGUACAUACACUGAUCUGCGACUGGACUAAGGAUGGGAGGCGAUAGCGAUGGAGAGGGUGGGAGUGAGGAUAUGGAUUAUAAUAGCUGGACUGAAGUGGGGAAUAAGAAACGAGCCAGGAGUCGUAGCAGUAGAUCUGGUAGUCGUGGGGACGGGAGAGAGAAAAGCAGGAGGAUGAGGGAGAGGAUUGCAGAGAAGGAGGGGUUCAAAAUAAUUGUGAGAUUCAAGGACGGAAAUGACAUUCGGAAAAUAAGCCCGGUGGCGCUGACUCGCGGGUUGAAGGAGAAAGUUGGCGAGAUUGUGAUGGCGAAGGUGCUGGCUGAUGGCGGAUUGUUGAUCCAGUGUAAGGACGAGGGGCAGAGAGGGAAAGCAAUGAAGCUGAAAAAAGUGUGCAAUAUAGUGGUUGAGAGCGUGAAGAAGUUACAUGAUGGGCCCUUUGUUAGAGGCGUGAUAUACGAUAUCCCAGUGGAAGAGAAUGUGGAGGAACCGAGAGCAAGUAUGAAAGGGGGUAAAGUUAUAGGGAUUAAACGUCUGCAGGCAAGACGAGCUGGAGAAAGGGUGGACAGUUUGUCAGUGCUGCUCGAUUUUGAAGAAAGGGUGUUGCCUGACUCAGUUCCGGUGGGGUAUUUAAGGUAUAGAGUAAGAGCUUAUGUCCCACCACCUUUGAGGUGUUACAAAUGCCAAAAGUAUGGCCAUAUUGCGGCAGCGUGUAAAGGGAAGCAAAGAUGUGGAAAAUGUGGAGGGGAACAUGACUUUGGGAAAUGUGAGGCUGGGACAGAUCAAAUGUGCAAAUUGCGGAGGUGCACACAGUGUGGCCUCUGGUGGUGUGAAGUGAGAAAGAAGGCAGUGGGAGUGCAGCAGCUGGAAGUGAAAAUGAAUAUAUCGUAUGCAGAAGCAGCAAAGAGGGCUCAGAGGGAAAGUGGGGGGGAGAGAGGGGGGAGAUGUAGUAAGGAAGGAACCGGCUCAACAGCCAAGUGAACAACUGUCGACUAAGAGUCAAAGGGGAGAUGAGAAUAUAAUGGCAGUAAAUAAGGAGAACUUUGUGUUUUUCAUGGCAGAAGUGGUUAACUGCACAUUCCAGGCAAAAGGGAGAUCUGAGACAAUUUAAAUAAUAGUAAAAAGUGCAGCAAAGUACUUAAAUAUUCACGGAAUAACUGGGAUGGCGGUACAGGAAGAGCUUAGAAAACAGGGGCAGUUAACCACAGAAUCAUGCUCACAGGAUUAAUCAUCAUGUUAAUUCUACAAUGGAAUGCUCGGAGUUUGUUGGCAAAUGGACAAGAAUUCAAAAAAUAUGUUGGGGAUAUGCCUAGUAAGCCAGAUGUCAUAUGCAUACAGGAAACAUGGAUAAAACCAAAUUUGGACUUCAGACUAGCUGGAUAUGCGUGUGUUAGGUGUGAUAGGGAGGGUGGUCAGGGAGGAGGACGUGCCACAUUUAUUAGUGAAGACAUCACAUUUAGAGAGGUGAAGACAGGGACCGAGCUCCAAGAUGUAACUGUGGAGAUCUGGGCAAGGGAAGGAGAGGUCAUAGUUGUACAUUUGUAUAAUCCCUGAAAAAAAUUAGUGGUGAAUAGAUUGGCACAAAUUGAAAGGAUAGAUGGCAACAAGGUGGUGGUAUGUGGAGAUUUUAAUGCACAUAGUACAUUAUGGGGUGGAGUAAGAACAGAUCUCAAUGGGGAGGUAAUGGAAGAGUUACUAGAGGAACACAAUUUGGUUUGUUUAAACGAUGGCAGAGGGACUCGAUGUGCACACAGGGAACAUGUCGGCGCUAGACUUAACCAUGGUAUCUAGGAGUUUAGCAGGGAUAUGCGAGUGGGAGGUAGAAGAGGAAACAUCAGUGGGCAGUGAUCAUUUUCCAAUAAAGUGUAAAAUAGCAUUACAAAGGAGUCAGGAACAGGGAGAGGUGAGAGGGAAGUGGGUGUUUAAUAGGGCAAAAUGGGAACUUUUCAAAUAUAUAUGCGAGCAAGAAAUGGAUAAAAUAGACUUAAAUGAAGAUAUUGAGGAGAUUGAUACAAAAAUGACAGUUACAAUACUGGAAGCAGCGAAUCAAACAAUUUCUAAAAGUAAAGGAAGGAUGAAAAGAAAGGCGGUCCCCUGGUGGACUGAGGAGUGUGGGAGAGCAGUGAAAGAAAGGAACAAAGCUCUGAAGGUAUUAAGAAGAUCGCAUCAUUUCCGAACUUUAAUAGAAUACAAACAAGCACAAGCAAAGGUUCGUAGAAUCAUUCGUAAAGGGAAAGCUGGCAGAAUUAUUGUAGCAGAAUUGGAAGAGCAACACCUGUGGGAGAGAUUUGGGGGAUGAUUAGAAGCAUGAGAGGAAUGAGGAAAGUGUGGCAGUAUCCAGUGUUGAAGAGGGGGGAGGAAACAGCAGCGUCAGAUGGGGAGAGGGCAGAGAGGAUGGCAAAAGCACGAAUAGAAAUCCACAGCGCUGACAACCUGACAGGAGAAGGUAAGAGAGGACGGGAGAUUGCAGUGAGACGCGGAGAAAAUGUGAAGUGGUGCUCUUCUUCGCAAUAAAACAUCUUUGAUGGCACGUGUCUCGGCCAAUCAGCGUUCAGAUGUCCACAGCGUUUGGGAAGUUAGGUUAGUAAAGUACCCGUACGUUAAAAGCGAUGUGAUUCAGCAUAUCUUUAGGAUCGAUACUACAGUAAAAGAGCGCGCACGCGCUGCUCCGCUCCGUCAAAUGCUGUCUGCACGAGCAGUGUUCACAGCGAGUGGCGCGCGCUUCGCUCAGCCGUGAUGCGCGCACACAGUCCAGGGUGAUAUUGGCCGAUCUCUAUUUGCUGAUGAUGGUGCACUGUGGAAGAGGGGGAAGAACAUAAAUCACAUUGAAGUGGAGACGUUGGCCAUCUUAACAGCACUGCAGUGGGAAGAGGAGGUUCGGGUCGAAAAAGUCUUCAUCUGUUCAGACUCUAGUUCAACACUAUCCUCAUUACAAUCAUUCACUUCACAUAGCAGGCAGGAUUUAAUUAAUGAAAUAUAUGAAACACUGUUCCGUCUAAAGAAUAUGGGUAUUGUCGUAGCAUUUAUAUGGGUACCAGCACACAGGGGGGUGCAAGGAAACGAAAGAGCAGAUACACUAGCAACACAAGCGUUAGAAAGGCAGCACAAGACGGACAUUUACACAGCAAAGCAGAAGUUAAAACAAUUAUCAAAAGAAACAUUAUUAAGGAAUGGCAGCAUAGUUGGGAUGUAGGGGAAACAGGAAGACAUCUGUAUGCUGUGCAGAGGGAAGUUGGCAAAGGGAGGCCAGCUAGAAGAAGCAGAGCAGAAGAACACAUAGUAACCAGACUGAGGAUCGGGCCAAGGCUGAAGAAAACAAUGCAUCUCAUAAAUAAACACCCAACAGACGAUGUGAGACUGUCAAGGACCAUAAUCUGUAGAACAUAUCAUUUGUCAUUGUCAGAAAUACACACUUGAGCGACACGUGUUGAAGAGGAAGCUGGGAGUGGAGGAACUAAAUCUAACGGAUGCGUUAAAAUUGGGGGCAGGACAGGUAUUACAAUAUUUGAAAGAAACAGGAUUAAGCAAUAUAAUUUAAAGCACUGACAUUUUUGAAUCUCCCUUUUGUUUUGUUUGUUUUAUUGAUUUUGUUUUGUGGGUAUUUUGUUGGGUUUGGUUUUUGUUUGUUUGGUUUUGUAAGGGGAUAGGGUACUCUGGUCCACACUCCACUGCAGGAGGUGGCGGAAAUGCACCGUUCACUGGAUGCCAUCCGCCUAAAAUUUUUAAAAGAAGAAGGAGACACAGAGGAGACAUAGGAGACACAGAGGAGACAUAGGAGACACAUAGGAGACACAGAGGAGACACAGAGGAGACAUAGGAGACACGGAACACAGGAGAAACAGAACAGGGUGUUACAGGAGGCCCUUUCACCUCUGCCUCUUUUGAAGCUUCCAGUCCUGCCUCAACUCGUGACCGUGACAAGUCUGGACGAUUUCCAGGAAUGCUGUACAGUGAGUUACAAGAAGUCAGUUGUGGUUACCAAUGUGGAUAGAGUGCUUCAAACGAGACGGUCGUCUUUUUACAGCCAGAGUAAGUCAUAUUUACACGCAAGAAGAUAAACACGACACGGGCCAGAAAGCUGUCGAGUGGUCGGACUUUUUGCGAGAAAUUAAUAUUGAUAUUUGGUAAUUAAUUUGGUUGGUGUUUGAGUUUUACAAUACAUCUGACACAUUAUUGUAGCUCUGGCUCCGCUAUUUAAUCUGGUAGGUAGCCUACCGUCAUUAUGGUGUUGUUUCGUGAUUAGGACAUUGCUAAUUAUGUGAUUGAUAAUCCCGAGGGCCCCUCUGAACCACUUGUUGAGGUUCUUUCCAAAUAUGGGGUGCAACCUAGUUAUGUCUAUUAUUGUUCUUCUAUUAUUGGCGUGACUACAGCUAAUGUCACUCUCAUAUACACUACCGUUCAAACGUUUGGGGUCACUUAGAAAUGUCCUUAUUUUCCAAAGAAAAGCUGUUUUUUACCAAUGAAGAUAACAUGAAAUGGAUCAGAAAUAAACUCUAUACAUUGUUAAUGUGAUAAAUGACUAUUCUAGGUGGAAACGUCUUUUUUAAUGAAGUCUCUACAGAGGUGUAUAGAGGCCCACCUCCAGUGUUCUAAUGGUACAUUGUGUUAUCGCCUUUGAAGACUAACGGAGGGGUAGAAAACCCUUGAAAACCCUUUUUAUGUGAGCGCAGCUGAAAACAGUUAUGCUGGUUGGAGAAGCUAUAAAACUGGCCUUCCUUUGAGCCACAAGUUGGAAGAAAAACAUUAAUAUUUGAAAUACAAAUUAUUAUUUCGAACCAAGUCAAUGUCUUGACUAUAUUUUCGAUACACUUAUAAAUUCAUAAGAUAAAUAAAAGUGUGAGUUUUCAUGGAAACCACGAAAAUGUCUGGGUGACCCCAAACUUUUGAACGCUAGUGUAAAUAUAAAUUAUUCAUCUCCUAUGGAUUGAAGAUCUUGUUCUUCUAUUGUGUUUGACAUUUUUUGCAGCUGCACAUUACCUCGUGGAAGGUGCACUCCCUUUUCGGACAGAUAUCGAUCGGGCGCCACGUCAGGUGCUGCUGUGUCUGCCUCCGUGAGAGAGGUGG